CGGCUUCCCCGGCGCUCCUUUCCCCGGGUUUCCCCAGGGCCCCACUCACCACGCUCCUCCCCGGGGCCCUCAGCACCUCCGCUCCCUUCCCGGGGCCUCCUCACCGAACCGCCCCCUGCAGAACCUGCCCACCACCCCGGAACCGCUGCCCAGCCUCCAAAGCUCACCCCGCUGCGGGUGCUCACGCCCAUUCCCCAGCGCUAGUGAAUAACUUCAGGAAUGGAACUGGCUACACAAACAGGCUCAGGAAGAGGAGACAGCAGCAGCCACCCCCACUCAGGACUGAUUUAUCUUCCUCUUCUCUGGGGAGUGCCACUCAACUUCCCAGACCUUCCUCUCGGUUAUUCAGCAGUUUCUGGGGUGAGAAGGUCCAAGUCUCCCUCUUGUACAAACUCUUCUUCUCAAAUGGAACCUCCCUUGAAAAAAAUCAAGAAGGAGUAGCCAGCCUUUCUUUGUUCAUGUUUCUGGUUCAUGUUUGUCUUUGCUUCUAGAACAUUUGUGAAUUUUUGACUUGUUGUUUUCAAAUAAAGCCCAUAGCACC